AUUGAACGCUGGCGGCAGGCCUAACACAUGCAAGUCGAGCGAAUGAAGGGAGCUUGCUCUUGGAUUUAGCGGCGGACGGGUGAGUAAUGUAUAGGGAGCUGCCCGAUAGAGGGGGAUACCAGUUGGAAACGACUGUUAAUACCGCAUAAUGUCUACGGACCAAAGUGUGGGACCUUCGGGCCACAUGCUAUCGGAUGCACCUAUAUGGGAUUAGCUAGUUGGUGGGGUAACGGCUCACCAAGGCGACGAUCCCUAGCUGGUUUGAGAGGAUGAUCAGCCACACUGGAACUGAGACACGGUCCAGACUCCUACGGGAGGCAGCAGUGGGGAAUAUUGGACAAUGGGCGCAAGCCUGAUCCAGCCAUGCCGCGUGUGUGAAGAAGGCCUUCGGGUUGUAAAGCACUUUCAGCGAGGAGGAAGGGUGUUGUGUUAAUAGCACAGCAUUUUGACGUUACUCGCAGAAGAAGCACCGGCUAACUCCGUG
rnacentral:rRNA from 1 species